GUCAGGAUGGCCGAGCGGUCCAAGGCGCUGCGUUCAGGUCGCAGUCCGGUCUUCCGGGCGUGGGUUCAAAUCCCACUCCUGACA
rnacentral:tRNA from 1 species